rnacentral:rRNA from 1 species
GAUGAACGCUAGCUACAGGCUUAACACAUGCAAGUCGAGGGGAAACGAUAGAGAAAGCUUGCUUUUUCUAGGCGUCGACCGGCGCACGGGUGAGUAACGCGUAUCCAACCUGCCCAUCACUUGGGGAUAACCUUGCGUAAGUAAGACUAAUACCCAAUGAUAUCUCUAGAAGACAUCUGAAGGAGAUUAAAGAUUUAUCGGUGAAGGAUGGGGAUGCGCCUGAUUAGCUUGUUGGCGGGGUAACGGCCCACCAAGGCGACGAUCAGUAGGGGUUCUGAGAGGAAGGUCCCCCACAUUGGAACUGAGACACGGUCCAAACUCCUACGGGAGGCAGCAGUGAGGAAUAUUGGUCAAUGGACGAGAGUCUGAACCAGCCAAGUAGCGUGCAGGAUGACGGCCCUAUGGGUUGUAAACUGCUUUUAUAAGGGAAUAAAGUGAGUCUCGUGAGACUUUUUGCAUGUACCUUAUGAAUAAGGACCGGCUAAUUCCGUGCCAGCAGCCGCCGUAA